rnacentral:rRNA from 1 species
AACGCGAAGAACCUUACCUGGGCUUGACAUGUUCCUGACCGCCGUGGAAACACGGUUUCCCUUCGGGGCAGGAUCACAGGUGGUGCAUGGCUGUCGUCAGCUCGUGUCGUGAGAUGUUGGGUUAAGUCCCGCAACGAGCGCAACCCCCGUCGCAUGUUGCCAGCAUUUAGUUGGGGACUCAUGCGAGACUGCCGGUGACAAACCGGAGGAAGGUGGGGAUGACGUCAAGUCAUCAUGCCCCUUAUGUCCAGGGCUACACACGUGCUACAUUGGCGCGUACAGAGGGUUGCGAUACCGCGAGGUGGAGCGAAUCCCUCAAAGCGCGUCUCGGUUCGGAUUGCAGGCUGAAACUCGCCUGCAUGAAGGCGGAGUUGCUAGUAAUCGCGGAUCAGCACCGCCGCGGUGAAUACGUUCCCGGGCCUUGUA